rnacentral:rRNA from 1 species
UACAGAGGGGGCAAGCGUUGUUCGGAAUUACUGGGCGUAAAGGGCGCGUAGGCGGCCUGUUAAGUCGAACGUGAAAUCCCCGGGCUCAACCCGGGAACUGCGUCCGAUACUGGCAGGCUUGAAUUCGGGAGAGGGAUGCGGAAUUCCAGGUGUGGCGGUGAAAUGCGUAGAUAUCUGGAGGAACACCGGUGGCGAAGGCGGCAUCCUGGACCGAGAUUGACGCUGAGGCGCGAAAGCCAGGGGAGCAAACGGG